AACGCACAUUGCGCCUCCUGGUAUUCCGGGAGGCAUGCCUGUUCGAGCGUCAUUAAAAUCAACUCAAGCUCAUUUGCUUGGUCAUGGAAGAAGAGUCUGCAUCGCAGCCUCCCCUCCGAAAUCCAAUGGCGGAAGGUCACUGGUGCCCGGCGUAGUAUUAACGUUCGCUGUGUACCCAGAGUCUUUCCUGCCCAACAACCCCCUUUCUCGUGAUUGACCUCGGAUCAGGUAGGGAUACCCGCUGAACUUAA
rnacentral:misc_RNA from 1 species